rnacentral:rRNA from 1 species
GACGAACGCUGGCGGCGUGCUUAACACAUGCAAGUCGAACGGAAAGGCCCUGCUUUUGUGGGGUGCUCGAGUGGCGAACGGGUGAGUAACACGUGAGUAACCUGCCCUUGACUUUGGGAUAACUCCAGGAAACUGGGGCUAAUACCGGAUAGGAGCUCCUGCUGCAUGGUGGGGGUUGGAAAGUUUCGGCGGUUGGGGAUGGACUCGCGGCUUAUCAGCUUGUUGGUGGGGUAGUGGCUUACCAAGGCUUUGACGGGUAGCCGGCCUGAGAGGGUGACCGGCCACAUUGGGACUGAGAUACGGCCCAGACUCCUACGGGAGGCAGCAGUGGGGAAUAUUGCACAAUGGGGGGAAGCCUGAUGCAGCAACGCCGCGUGCGGGAUGACGGCCUUCGGGUUGUAAACCGCUUUCGCCUGUGACGAAGCGUGAGUGACGGUAAUGGGUAAAGAAGCACCGGCUAACUACGUG